rnacentral:lncRNA from 1 species
CUUGUGUAAAUACACCUAUUUUUGUUUUUAUUAUGUAGGAUUUUUAAACUUGUAGAAGUUGUAUACGACAGAUUCCCGAUUUUAUUUAUCUUUUAUUUUAAUGGAUAAUUCGAUAUAAAAAAAAAGAACGUCUUGUAUUGAUUUAUAUAUAGAAAUUGUUUUACAAAAUAUUGCUAGGCUUGGACAAUCCUGCGAACUCAAGGCAAUGAACAAACUAUCAAUAAUCUGAUAGAUGAUAAAUAAAAAAAAAGAAACAAGGGGAAGUAAACAAGUUUUAGUUUGUCCAAAUUGAGAUAAAUUUAUCAGUGGGGUUUAGGUGCGAUCUUCAUUGGAAUAGCCAUAUUUUUUUACUGUUAAUUAAUUAAGAAUAUAUCUGGUUAGCAAAAAAUGUUGUGAGUUCUGGUUCUAAUGCCACGAACAAUUGGGUAAACACAAAUGGUGUCUUCGCAAUUGGUUGGAAUAGAUGUUACUGAUAACAGAGAGAUGUCUUCCUCCGCACCAUUGGUCAUGGACAAAACUUAAUCGAUUGCCGAUGUUAACAGCCUCUUAAGAAGGACGAACCAACCAGCUAGAUGCGUCAAAUACUACGUAAUGGAGAUGAUGAUGACGACAUUUGUACAAAGAUGUGCGCCCUUUCCAGCAGUUGAUGAACUUUAUACUUUGAUGGUGACGGAAAUAAAACAUGAACUAUGUAUAUCGAACUAUUUAACUGGUGAUUCAAAUGAACUAUGUGUAAAUAUAUCCAGCUAUUGGACUUGGUGAAUGUAAUGAACUUAUUAUAAACUUUAGAUGUGUGGUGAUGGUUACCGGAAACUUUGCAAUGAACUAUCACAAUAACCUACAGAAGAAAACUACCGUAUUUUAUUGAACUUUCGUUUUAUUUAGGAGGAAAGGAAAAUGUAACACAAUUGUGUUUCAUAUCAUUAAUUAUCAAGGAG